CCUACGGGGGGCUGCAGUGGGGAAUUUUGCGCAAUGGGCGAAAGCCUGACGCAGCAACGCCGCGUGGGUGAUGAAGGUCUUCGGAUCGUAAAACCCUGUCGUUGGGGACGAAGGUGGGGGCGUUAAUAGCGUUUCUGCUUGACGGUACCCGGAGAGGAAGCCCCGGCUAACUCUGUGCCAGCAGCCGCGGUAAUACAGAGGGGGCAAGCGUUGCUCGGAGGUCGCGGGGGUAAAGGGUGCGUAGGCAGUUGGAAUCCCCGAGCUCAACUUGGGAACUGCAUCUGAGACUGGAAGGCUAGAGUACUGGAGAGGGUGGUGGAAUUCCUCGUGUAGCGGUGAAAUGCGUAGAGAUGAGGAGGAACACCAGUGGCGAAGGCGGCCACCUGGACAGUAAUUGACGCUGAGGCGCGAAAGUGUGGGUAGCAAACAGGAUUAGAUACCCGAGUAGUC
rnacentral:rRNA from 1 species